AUGAACAAGGCACACACAUGCUGUGCUGACCAAACAAAGAGCCUCCUGAUGUUGUCAAUAUGCUGUGUUGACCAAACAAACAAUGUAGCGCCCCUCUCCUCUACUGCAAGCCAAACUUGGCAGGUCUGUUGUCACCAUCAUCUUGCCAGAAAGGGAAAUGAGUUCGGUGCGGAAGAGAAUGGAGCCCAACAUUGGGACUCUCUGGGGCCGACCUGUAGGCCAGAGCCCAACAUUGGGAGUGAUUUACAGCAGAAAGUGGAUGUGGUUGAACUAUACGAGAGGGCCAGAUUCGUCGAACAAAAAAAAACUCGUUCCGGCGGUGUUGCUGAGUGGCGCUCCUCUUACAAAUUAACACCGGUGCUCGCGCGGCGGUGGCCGAGGUGA
rnacentral:rRNA from 1 species